rnacentral:misc_RNA from 1 species
GGUUUCCGUUGCCUCAUGAUGGUAAUGGAUUCGUGGGAGAUUACCCGGGCAUGGAUCGAGAGGUCGGAAAAAUCCGUGUCCCAAUGAUUUCAAUUUGGAGGAGGGGAGAAGUAGUAAGCAGACAGCGAUAUCAGCCGAGGACAUCCUCAGGUCGGAAAUGUUCGAUUCAGUCCUGCUUUGUUACGAAGGGAAGCGCGCGGACAUGGUUGAGCUCAGACAAACAAUGCAGAAAGAAACUAGCAAGAGUUCACAGGUUGGAAAUCCGAAAGGAUCGAACGGUGGGAAGGCCCGC